UCGGGAAUUUUGGGCAAUGGGCGAAAGCCUGACCCAGCAACGCCGCGUGAAGGAUGAAGUCUCUCGGGAUGUAAACUUCGUAAGAAUAGGAAGAAUAAAUGACGGUACUAUUUGUAAGGUCCGGCUAACUACGUGCCAGCAGCCGCGGUAAUACGUAGGGACCAAGCGUUGUUCGGAUUUACUGGGCGUAAAGGGCGCGUAGGCGGCGUGGUAAGUCACUUGUGAAAUCUCCGAGCUUAACUCGGAACGGUCAAGUGAUACUGCUGUGCUAGAGUACAGAAGGGGCAAUCGGAAUUCUUGGUGUAGCGGUGAAAUGCGUAGAUAUCAAGAGGAACACCUGAGGUGAAGACGGGUUGCUGGGCUGAUACUGACGCUGAGGCGCGAAAGCUAGGGUAGCAAACGGGAUUAGAUACCCGAGUAGUCCCUGAGCGGGCUGGCAAGGCGCAU
rnacentral:rRNA from 1 species